rnacentral:rRNA from 8 species
AAACGACUCUCGGCAACGGAUAUCUCGGCUCUCGCAUCGAUGAAGAACGUAGCGAAAUGCGAUACUUGGUGUGAAUUGCAGAAUCCCGCGAACCAUCGAGUCUUUGAACGCAAGUUGCGCCCGAAGCCAUUAGGUUGAGGGCACGUCUGCCUGGGCGUCUCACG